AUAUAAGAACCAAUCUGAACCGUAGAAUUCGUGUAGAUCGGACCGCCCAAAAUGAAUAUAGUAGUAAUGGCAUUUUAGUAAUUUUAAGGGAAACUUAUCCCAACCCUUCCUCUUCCACGCAUAAUCUCUCUCUCUACUUCUCUAGAGUCUAGCCUUGAUACAUCUUUCUCUCUCCCUUUUCUCUCAUAAUUUUGGCUGCAAAUUCGUUCAAGAAAUUAGGGUUAACUUUAAGAAAUUAAGGAAACUUAUAUAAUAAAGCUGAGUGAAGAUCAGUUGUGCAAUUGCUUUCUGUCUUUUGAAUACUGGCCAAUCUUUCAGAUAAAUUAUCAUUAAACUUUGAAGCAAUAGCUCACUCUUAUUGCUUGAUGCUGAUAUCUUCACACACAAAGGGUCAUAAUCAUUGAAAAAUUUUGUUCGAAGUAUAUAGCCUCUCAAUUAUUUCAAGUGAAGUAAAUACUAUUGAAUCUGUUAAACAAAUUGGUCAAAAGAAAAAAAAGGUUGAAGAAAGCUACUGUUGCAACUUAAGAAAGCUAGUCGCCAAUGAUAUAAUCUUAGUAGCAUCCCCACGGGGAAGCAAUCCAAGAGCAUUCACGGUAGAGAAGACUGAAGUUGAUAUGCUUUUUAUUGGUUACUAUUUUGAUGUUAGUUACUAUUUGUGUCCUUGUCUGCAUAAGACAAGUUGACUUUAGGAAGAAUCACAUUUUGUCAAAAAUUAAUAUUUAUUCUUUACUAAUUUGUCAAAAAUAAGCAAAUAAUUUGUCAAAAUG